GAAAGACAAAGGCCUGCGUCAUCUGAGCUGCCACGGGCCCAGCAUCUACAUAGGAGGCUCAGUUUCCCGGCCAGCUCUAUGCUGGUGUCCAUGCAUCCUUCAUUCCUUCACGCAACAAGGACCCCAGGACGCCGGGCUCUGGCGUCCCACGGAAAGAAGACAAUGAGGGAGCUUGGGUGAUGGAAGAUGAGGGCAUUCUCUUCUCAUGACUCUACUUUCUCAGGGACGUAUGAGGCCAGGUCUUAGGAGCAGAAAAUGUACAAGAUGAGCCUGAUGUUGUCAUACCAGAAGGCAAAGAACCCCUCAAAGACCAGUGGGGUCCGGUCAAUAGGACCUCGGAGCCAACUCAAAGAUGCUCCCGUUGGCCAAAGAGGGAAUAUUUUGAGCAUCAAUAAGGAUAAGACUGCAGUGGACUGGAACACAUCGUCUGUAUAAACUCAAAUAUGAGUUCAUGAUGUAAGUGAAAAAAACUAAUUGUCACCAUUGGAGAAUGUUAA